GUAAGCGGAUGGGCUCGGCCUCAAGGACAGGGUGCUCGGCUGAAAAAAAAGCUAGCGGCGAUCACCGGUGCCAGGGCUCUCCAGAAACGGAGCCCAUCUAACCAAUGCCCAGCACACUCGCUCUGCUCCACACACGAGACCACCUCCGACCCGCACUAAGUUGGCCAACUGCACUCUGGAGGCGGCGGCAGCCAGCGAGGGAGAAGGGAAAGGCUGUCCCGGGACCCCGAGGAGGACUGCCCCGCCCCCGGGAACCGGGUGCGGCGUAAAACAACCCCGGCUCCGGGCCGACCCUUCCUGGCCCCUUGGAGGCCCAGGCGGGGCGGCGGGGGGCGACGCGGCAGGGGUCUCCGCGCCCAGGCUCCCGCGGAGCGGCCACACGUGGAGGUUCCCACUUUGGGGUCGCGGCCGCAGCAGCACCGGGCGGGAUGCUGUCCGCGCUGCCCGCGUACGGCCGCGGCCUGAGUGGAGACGCCUGCCCCCAGCCCCGAGGCCUCGGCCCCCGUCCGCCCUCUCUCCCUGCUCGGCGGCCUCGUACUCACGCUGACUUCAUGGCAGCAGGCUCCACGCCGCCCAAACGCGCAUGCGGGACGGCUGGCUGGCGAAGACUGCGGGACGUUAGGACCGGCAGCAAGAACUAGAACUUCGCGGCUAAGGCGCGGUGCUCUGCGAAGCCGGCGGCGACGCUAAGAGCCCAGGUGAGCUCCCGCCUGGCGCAUUUCAAACGGGCCAAUCAGCGCCCGUCCGCAGGGAGAGGCAGGACCUCCGCGGAAGUGACUUCGCUGCCGGAAGUGGCGCUUGUCUCCUAGGCGACCGACGCUGAAAGGGCCGCGGAGUCGCGUGUCAGGGCUGGAGGGAGAUCUUGAGGUAUGGUAUUUAAACUCUUCCGCCUUGCGAUGACGAAACUGAGGGUUUCUUUUCCUCCAUCACAAGAAGUUCAAUGGAAGGGCCUUUCCAGGGUUGAUUCAGAGGUCGGAAUGUCGUUCUGGUGAAAAGUGUUGUAUUCCUGUGCUGUGCCCUGCUCCAAGUCUCAGGCUCCGUCUCUCUGGCUCCCAAGUCACCACAUUAUCUUGGCGUCUUUUCUCUCUCUGAUUCACCUUUCCUGGGUUUCCCUCCAGCUCUGUCCUAUAUGUACAUUAUUUUAUCAAAUCUUUUUUUUUUCCUUUUUUAUUUUUUGAGGUGGAGUUGCUCUGUCGCCCAGCCUGGACUGCAGUCUUCAGCUCACUGCAACCUCCACCUCCUAGGUUCAAGCAAUUCUCUUGCCUCAGCCUCCCGAGUAGCUGGGAUUACAGGCGCGCACCACCACGCCCAGCUAAUUUUUGUAUUUUUAGUAGAGAUGAGGUUUCACCAUAUUGGCCAGGGUGGUCUAGAACUCCUGACUUAAGGUGAUCUGCCUACCUUGGCCUCCCAAAGUGCUGGGAUUACAGGCGUGAGCCACUGCGCCCGGCCUGUUUUAUCAAAUCUUGAUUGUGUUUGAUCCUGGCCUUACGGAGAUGAAUAAAAUUUGGUCCUUACCCUUAAGGGGCAACCUUUUGAACCUACUCUUGCCUUAGAUGAACUGAUUCUAUAUCACUUCUGUCUUUGACCCUAAGCCGAUGACUACCAAAUACACAUCUACACCUGGGCUCUCAUGGAACUCUAGCCCCUUCUCAACUUCCUAAAGGACCACAGCACUGGUAAGGAUAGUCACAAUGUCCUUGGCCAAUAUUGUUGGUGCUCAGGAAACGACACCCCAGAGUAUGGCUCUUUGGCACACUGAGUGCUUUGAACUAAAGAAGACUGAAAGUGCCUCAGAGAAGCCUUAAAAGCAAAGUCUGUCUCUGACUUUCUCCUGCCCUCUUGUCUCCCACCCCUCUGUGUCUCCUAAAGCAAAUAAUAGAAACCAGAAUUUCUGUUCCCCAAGGCGGGUCAUGGAAACUAGAACCCCUUUUCUCCCAAGCAAGCCAGAAACAUUAUUCUAGAAAAACCUAGAAAUAUUAAUCUAGCCUUCCCCCACCUUUUUGUGUAAGAGCUGGCCAUAAAGACAUUCUUUGAUGUACCUUGUCAUAAGACCCUCGUUCCAAAAGGGUCUUGCCCUACACUCAGGAAGAAGGAAAGCUGCACAGAGAGGCCAAGAAGAAUCUGAACAGACAGGACUUGCUGGAUUCCUCCUUCAGUCUGUUACUAUUAGAUCAUACUCCUUUUGUACAAUCACAUUUCUACACAGCUGUCCAUUCUUCAUCUCAUCUAAGCAUAAAAAUGGACAGCUUUCCCUGGGUCUUUGGGUCUUCAUUUCUGAAGGCACUUACAUCCCAUAAAACUGUGAUUCAAUAAGUUAUCCAUUUAUCUUGCUAACCUGUUUUUUGUUAUGGUAGUGUCAGCUGUGACCCUUAAGAUGGGUAAAGAAAAGUAUCACACCUUUUCCACCCCUACAUUGCACAUUAGGAUGGUUCCAACUUUUCCUAUUACAGAUACAGCUAUAGUGAAUGAAUGUGGAAAUUUAUACAAUGCAGGUAAAUAUGUAGGAAACAUUUCUAGAAACAGAAUUGCUGAGUCAAAGAGUAUACAUAUGUGUAACAUUUCACAGAUAUUGCAAAUCAUUCUCCAUAAAAGCUGUCCAAAUGUACACUCCCACCAGCCUGUAUGAGAGUGCCUAUUUCUCCACAAUUCUCAAAGUGUUAUCAAACUUUUCAGUAGCUACCAAUCUAUUGAUAUCUCAUAUCAAUUGGUGAGAAAAAACAUGUAGUUAAAUUUUUCAUUUAUUUUCAGAUAAAUGUUGUCUAUUCAUAUAUUUUAGAGCCCUUUUGAUUCCUUCUCUAUCAACUGUGUUCAUAUUCUUUGCCUCUUUGUUCUAUUGGUUGUUCGUUUUUCUUAAUGAUCUGUGAAAGUUCUUAUAUUAAAAAAAAAUUGGUCCUCAUCCAAAAUACGAGUUUAAAUACUUUUAUUUUUCACAUUUUGGUUAUUUUUAUUUGUAUAUGUUUUGUGACAGCUUGGAAAAAAUUUCAGGUAGACAGAUUAAUCCGUCUUUUCUUUUAUGGCUUCUGUUUUGUGUCAUACUGGAAAAAUACAUCCAUUCUGAGUUUUUUAUUUUAUUUCUCAUUUUUUGUUUCCUAGUGCUUUUAUUGCUUUGCUUCCUAUGUUGAAGUCUUUGAAUGAUUAGGACUUUGUUGUCAAGCUAGAGUUUGGUAUUUUGUUGGUUUGUUUGUUUUGUUUUGUUUUUUGAGACGGAGUCUGUCACGCAGGCUGGAGUGCAGUGGCGCAAUCUCGGCUCACUGCAGCUUCCGCCUCCGGGGUUCAAGCAAUUCUCCUGCCUCAGCCAGGCUGGUCUUGAACUUCUGACCUCAAGUGAUCCACCUGCCUCAGCCUCCCAAAGUGCUAGGAUUACAAGUGUGAGCCACCGCACCUGGCCUAGAGUUUGGAAUUUUUAUCAUUUAGGAAUUGGGCUUGGUUGCUGACUACUUAUAUCCUAGUUGCUCUUCAGUUUAGCUUCUACCUCAGACUCCAUUGGAACUCUUGUCACCAAAAUUACCACUUCCUUGAUGCUAAAUCUAUUUGACUUUUGUCUUACUUGGCUUCUUAACAACACUAAAAAAUGUUGCCCAUUCCUUUCUUCCCAUGCCUUUAUUUUUUCUCCUAGCUGUCUAGCCCUUCUUUCUCAGUCUCCUUUGUGAGUUCUUUUUUUCUCCCUUAAAUGUUGGGGCUCAGGGUUUAGAGCUGGUCACUAGGUGUGCCUUUUCCCUAGGCACUCUCAAGCACUCAUAUGGCUUCACAUCCCAUUCAUGUUUGCUCUUCUGAGCUCCAGAGCCAUAUAUCCAGCUGUCUUCUGGAUUCUCCACUUCGAUAUCCCACAAGCAUCUCACAUCUAACACAUUCUAAUCUCUUCUCCCAAACUUGCUCCCUCUCAGUGGAUGGCAUCCACCAAGCCAGAGUCUAAAGCAACAUUGUUAGCUUUUCUCUCUUCUUCUGUCUCAAUAUUCAAUCACUAAAUCUUAACAGUUCUACCUACUAAGUAGCCAAACCUCCAAACUGCUCCACUUUUCUCUGUCUCCUCAGCCACCAUCUUCUCUUGUCUGAUAAAGACAGCAGUCUCCUAACAGGCCUCUCUGCUGCCACUUUCCAAUUCAGUUUCCAUUUUGCUCAUCUCUAAAUCAUGGAUCUGAUUAUGUCACAUACCUAUAUGAAACUCUGCAGUGGUUCCCCAUUGUUGGAGACCCACCACAGGGCCCUGAGACGCUUCCUCUGGGGCUCAUCACCCAUCACUGCCCCCUGUCCCCUCUAGUCAUGUUGAACUGCAGUGCCCUGAACACGCUGGGCUCACACGCCAUUCUCUGUGCUGUCACGCUCUCCUCCCUCCUUUCCUCUGACAAUGCCUUGCCUUCAGUUCUCUGCAGAUCUGCCAGCUACCCUGCUGUGGAUACUGGGCCCCGUGGUACAGCCCCCACGCCCCCAAAACUGCCCUUUCCCACUCACUGCACCUGUUGACUUGUUUCAGCACUCACAUUCCAAUUGGCAGUCACUGUUCAUUCCUGUCUCCUCUACUGGCUUAUCCCCACAGCCUCACUAGAUGGCAUCGUUGCAUGCCCAGUGCCUAGCAGUGCAGGUGCCCCAUACAUGGCUUGAAGGGAUGAAUGAAUCAUCCCUUCAAAGAACGCUCCAGUUGAGGACCCAGUUACAUCGCACCACCUCCAGCUUCUCUUCAGGCCAGUUUCUUCUUCCUCCCUCACUUCUGUAUUAAAGUUCUCUGGCUUAUUAAUUUCCUUAAAACUACCAAAUAAUUACAUCAUUUUUCUAUUCAAAAAUAGCAAAGGGCUACCUAUAGCCAUUAAAAGAUUUGCAUUUUACCAUAGAAUUAGAGAUCCAGAUCAGGAGUGCGCGUAGGAGGGUGGGGAGAAGAGAACUGAGGGGCUUUUUUCUUUCUAAAGUCAAGUAUUUUAGGUAUAAUUUACAUACAGUAAAAUGGACCCUUUUUAGUUGUAUCGUUAUGUGUAUUUGACAAAUAUAUAGUGUGCUGUAACCACAAUCAAACGUAUAUUUCCAUCACAGUGGAAAAUUCUCUGGGCUGCCCCUACUCCCAGGCCUUGGCAACGACUUUUCUGAUUUUCUUCCCUAUACUUUUGCCUUUUCCAGAAUGUCUUUUCUUUCACUCAGCAUAAUGCUUUGAUAUUCAUCAAUGUGUUGCAUGUACCAGUAAUUUGUUCCCUUUUUGUUGCUGAGUCUAUUCCACUGUAUGAAUGCAGGACAAUUUAUUCAUUCACCAGUUGGACAUUUAGGUUGUUUCUACUUUCUGGAGAUUAUGAAACUGGUAUAAUUAUUUGUGUAAAAGUCUUUAUGUAGGUGUGUUUUUAUUUCUCUUGGGUGGGAUUGUGGGUCUUACGGUAAGUUUAACUUUAUUAGAAACUGUUAAAUUGGACCAGGCGAGUCUUAUCCAAAUCAUUGAAGAGGGGCUGACACUACACAAAUUCGAAAUCAUAUAUUAAUCCAAACACCCAGAUAAGCAAGUCCAGCUGUGGGAACCCAGUAAACACCAAUGACCAGAAACUGCUGAAGCCCCGAGUGUUUGAGGGGAGGUGGUAAAAUGGAGACAGCACUGCCUUGGGAUCUUGGACAUGCUCCGCACACUGUUCCCUCCCAGGCCCUGCUGGUCACUCAGUGGCCUUAGAAACAUUGUCUCAGGUUCCCAGGCCAUGAAUCUCUCUCGCCAGGCCAUUUGUAACAUGAAUGGUUAGAUGUUAAUGUUUACAUACAGAAAACACAAAUUAAUAAAAUCAACCUGGGGAUGUGUGUGUGUGUGUGUGUGUGUGUGUGUGUGUGUGUGUUGGGGAGUUGGGGGACUGUAAAAUUUACACAAAAAGAAACAAAUGACUUGAACUAUAUUUCAAAUAAAUAACAUACACAGAAAGGGGGAAAUAACCCAGGUAACUGUGACUAUUUAGAAUCAAGCUUGCCCUCAGGGUCAAGACAAAAAAAAAAAACUUGAAACGUUUUGAAUUCUAAUUAGUAGGCACAGACAUUAGUUGGUAAUUCUGAAACAACAUUCUGUACAUUCUAGGAUUGAGCAGAUAAAAUGUAUCAUGGGCUGGGUGAGGUGGCUCAUGCCUGUAAUCCCAGCAUGUUGGGAAGCUGAGGCAGGUCUAUCACUUGAGGUCGGGAAUUCGAGACCAGCCUGGCCAACAUGAUGAAACCCUGUCUCUACUAAAAAUGCAAAAAUUAGCCAGGCAUUGUGCCACGCGCCUGUAAUCCCAGCUACUCAGGAGGCUGAGGCAGAAUCGCUUGAACAUGGGAGGCAGAGGUUGCAGUGAGCCAACAUCGUGCCACUGCUCUCCAGCCCGGGCAACAGAGUGAGACUUCGUCUCAAAAAAAAAUAAAAUAAAUAAAAUAAAAUAAAACAUAUUGUGGCUAAUGGCAGUCAGCUUUCUCACUGUUGGAAAAGGGAGGAAAGGAGAAAAGGUGAAAAGUACCUGGGAAUUCUUUGCACUAUUUUGCAACAUUUUUCUAAGUCUGAAAUUGUAUUUAAAAAUGGUUGGACUAUAUCAGUGCUUCUGAACUCCCUUAUAUUAAAAAUUACCUACAGCUUUAGCUAAAAAUUUGAAACUACAGGAUCACCUCCCCCACUGUGGGUAGUCUGUGUCAGUAUGUUUGGGCCUGAGAAUCUGCAUUAUACAUCAUCGAACAAAUUUUAAAAGGGCUGAAUUAAAUGAUCUUUGAGGGCCUUUCCUUCUGUGUUCUGGAGGAGGCAAAAAAAUUCAGCCUGUUUCAGAAAUCUGUUGCUUAGCAUGAAGAGAAUGAGCGUGGCAACUGUCUGAAGUUAAUUUCUUAUGAGUUGACACAUUCCAUACAAGUACCAAGAGACAUAGGAAAGCCCUAUAGGCAAUUUCUCAAGGGAAAAAAAAUCAGGAAAAUCUCAGAAUUCUUCAAAAAUCAAGUCAUCCAGAUAUCUUCUGGAGUUAACAUCCUUCCAGUAGAACAAGUACCUGCCAGCCUUGGGACCCCUCUACUUAGCUCAACCUGCAAUCCCUUCCCCCGACAAGCUGACAAGGCUGGCUCCUUUUUGCCCAUCAAGUCUUCCUCAAAUGUCAGCUUAUCAGAGUGACCAUCAAUUCACAUGCCCUACUAGGCUUAGUUUCUUUACAGCACUUAUUAUCUGGAUUCAUCUAUAUAUCCUGUCUGCCUGCCCAACCAGAACACUAGCUUCAUUAGGGAGGGACAUUGCAGGUUUUUUUCACUUGUGUAUCCCCAGUUCCUAGGACAGUGGCCAUUCUAUACAUCCUAAGCACUAACUAUUCAUUGAAUGAUUUACUGAUACACAUGUGUACAGGGAUCUGUUUCUCAUGGUGAAUUAACAUAUUUGCAGUGUGGUAGAUAAAACAUAACCAAAUUAAGUGGCAAACAGGAUGACUUUAUGAUAAUAAAUAAAUUCUGUUUAUUUUUUUCUCUCACAUAGUUCAAGAAAACCAGACAUUAGUGUAAGUUGGAGAACAUCUGAGUUUGGAAACAGGUCUUUGCCUUAAUGGAUUGUUGACUAGAAAAUCAGAGGCCGAAAUUCAAAUAAUAUGUUUUGAAGUGUUGUUGUACCGUGUUAAUAGGUGUUUCAUAUAAAAAGGGUAGCAUGGACUGGGUGCAGUGUGGCUCAUGCCUGUAAUCCCAGCACUUUGGGAGCCUGAGGCAGACAAAUCACUUGAAUUCAGGAAUUCUAAGCCAGCCUGGGCAGCAUGGCAAAACCCUAUCUCUACAAAAAGUUAGCCAGGCUUGGUGGCAUGCACCUGUAGUCCCAGCUACUCAGGAGGCUGAGGUGGAAAGAUCACUGAAGCCUGUCAGGCAGAGGUUGCAGUGAGCCAAGAUUGCAACACUACACUCCAGCCUGGGCAACAGAACAAGACCCUGUCUCAAAAAAUAUUUUUUUUAAUUAAAAAAUGUUAAAGGGUACCAUAAGGUACAAAAUAGUGUCAAAUGAAGGGUUUCUUGAACAUAUCUGACAAUGCCAUUCUACUACACCGCACCUACCUCAGAACCUCUCAUAUGAGCAAGUUUCUACUGGGCGGGGCAGCAGGGGGAACAACACUUCCAGAAAGACUUCAGCAGACCAAAUAUUUAAACCACUUUAUACUCAGAAGACCUCUAAAUUUCCCAUAACAUCCUACCAACAAUUACAAAUUCUUUUUUUUUUUUUUUUGAGGCAGGGUCUUGCCCUGUUGCCCAGUCUGGAGCGCAAUGGCGCAAUCAUAGCUCACUGCAGCAUCCAACUCCUGGGUUCAAGCAAUCCUCCCACAUCACCCUCCACAGUAGCUGGGACCACAGGUGUGCACCACCACAACCAGCUAGUUUUAACUUUUUUUUAUAGAGACAGUGUCUGGCUCUGUUGCCCAGACUGGUCCUGAAUUCUUGGGCCCAAGCAGUCCUCCCACUUCAGCCUCCCAAAGUGCUGGGAUUACAGGCAUGAGCCACUGCAUCCAGCCACAGAUUCAUUCAUUCAUUCGUUCUUUCUUUGUUUUAAGACUAGUCAAGUGCAGUAGUGAGAAGAGGGGAAGAGUAGAACAAGGAGCUUGAUCUAUAACUGACUGCGAACAAUCAAUUGAGCUAACUCACUACCUUCAGACCAGCCACAAAUUCAUUUCUUUAGAAAAAAGAUGAGAAUUAUUUUCUAAAAACUGAGCAAUGGAAAAGGAACCCCUUCAAUGGGUAAAGGGAGGUAAAGUUAACUGAAUGGCCUUAUUCAUCAUACACAUUCAAGUUUUAUCACAGUUGUAAGGUCUGGUAAAUUUUUGAGUAGUGCUUCUCAAGCAAGGGGAGUGGGGAGAGGUACAUCCCAUUAGGAAUGUGCCACCCUCCCCACCAUAGUCUUUUUUGAGACAAUGCCAUGGUGAGCAAUUGUUACCAAUGGGAAUGUGUCACAUGUCUUAAAUGUAGUGAGACACUUUUUAAAAAUUAAGACCCACUCCAGUGAGGUCUUCAGCUGACCCCCUGCCAACCUUUUAGACUUUCUGAGAUGGCUUGGAUGAAAUUAUACUCACAUUAGACAUCUAAUGCCUAUUAUUUAAUACUUAAUGAUAAUUAAUAUAUUUGAACCCCUUCUCAUUUUGCAUAGGAAGCUUUCAAAUCAGUGUUCUGCAAACUGUCGUAAAAUUCUGAUUUAUAACACUGUCCCCAAAAGUAUAUAAUGGGACUAAAGUUUACCAAACUUAUAAAAAUGUUAUGAAACACUGGAUCUUAUUUUGUUGAUUUAACAUUUCAUUUCCAUCAUUAAGCAUGUGAAAAAGCAACAUAAGCAAAGAUUAAAUAAUCUAAAAAUCCUUCAAAUUGGUCACUCAUUAUUUCAGUACUUACUGAGCUAAACAUUAUUUUGUUACCUAUAAAGGAGAGAAUGUAAAACACUGUAUGUCUUUGGCAUUACUAGAAAGGGGUAUUUAAACUUUGUACCUUUUUUUGCCAUAAAAUUGAAGUUACAGUAAGAUGAAAUGGAAGCUCACAAGCCCUGUUGGUGUGGAAUUCCACUAAUAAUGUCAGAUUGUUGCCAGAAAAACAAAUUUUGUCAUGCAGCUUGCAAUUAAUGUACCAAAAAUUUACCAGCCCAUAUAAUUUUAUCAGUCUGCCUUCCCCAGAGGAAGUAAACAGAUAAUAAAACUAACGAAAUCAUAUUUCUUGACCACUCUCAUCCAAUAUAAAUUGUUACUUGUCCUUCGAGUAUUAGACAGUGAGCUGUUUACAAGGCCAUUCAAAUGUCUGGGCUAGUUAAUGGUAGAGGCAGUAGUCUAAAAUAUGGAGUAUUCCUGAGUCAGCAAAGAGGAUCCUGCAUUGUGAGGAAGCCCCCCUAAGUCAUUACCAAGUGCAGAUCUGGGUUUGAUGGGCCUCUGUCAAAAGUUGUUUUGCAUCCGCAUUUCUGUGUUCCCUGAAAACACCAUGAAAUACUGAACUUUAAUCAGUAAUGCAACAAAUGAGAAAAUGCUCAGUGUUUUAGAACUAUUCAGAGUAGAAAACGCUGGAACAUAAAAUGAGGUUACGCCUUAGUUGGUGAGUUGCUAAAACUUGAGAUCAGGCGAAACAAAGCUGAUAGGUCUAAUGCCUUUUGGAACAUGUAACACCAGCAGUUCUUCAAGUUUGGCCUCUGGCCCUCCUGUAUUAGAAUCAUCUGGGAGACUUGCUCCAGUGCAGAUCUCCUCUACAAAACCUACAUUUAACCUAGUGAAGCAGAACCCCCUGGUUUUCCCUAGGAGUCUGCAUUUGUCACAAGCUUACUGGAUGUUUCUGAUUCACAGUAAAGCUUGAGAACACUAUAUGUGACCACCCCACUGGCAAGGUGAUUAACUUCUUAUGCAUAUGGAUACUAAAUUUUGCAACAUAUUUGAAAUGCUGAAGCAAUAUCAAAUGUAUGACAUCCCCAAAUAUAGCAAUUUCCAUUGGUUUAAAAGGUGGCAUAUGAGCACAACCAAUUGGGAUUAACUCAGUCAACUCUUAUGGUUUAACACAUUUUACCUGCACUGAAAAAUACUUUGCAGAUCAAACUGGCAACCAGAAAACAGAACAUAACAGAACACAUGACACCCCGCUGUGGACUUUUAAGAAAAAAACUGACAAACUCCAAAUCCAUAAUGACAUGAGAACUUACACUUUGAAGGCAGAAUGGACUUGUGGGAAGAGAGGACUCCCCUUCUGUUCUCCCUUCACUAGGUGGAGAAGGGAAGAAGGGCUCUCCCCAGACAGCUCUCUUCAUUCUGGAAUGUUUUGCCAGUCCCCAAGGCACUCAGUGACCAACUUUCUUUCACAGGUCCUCCCAGUGACUGACCUGGCUCAUUCUCCGAAAGUGGUUGACAGGCCACUACGAGAGCUCUUGAGAGAAGCUUUGUGACAUGAAAUUCAUCAAAUGAAGCAAGAUUCAUUUUUAAAGAAUAAUACAAAGCUCCAGAGUAAUAUGCUUAAUCCAAAUGUUUAAAUAGAAUUUAAAACCACAUUUUAAGUAAAUUUAAAAUUAAUGAAAUAUCAAUAGUUUGCCUUAACAAGGACUUGCUUGAACCAUAUUCUCCUUUUAAAAUCACACACACAGAAUCAGUGUACAUUUAGAGAAAUUUCCCCAGCUGAAUAACAUUUUUGACAUGAAUUCAUUCAAAAGACACCAACCAUUAUGAAUAUUUUAGGCCAUGAUAAGCUGUAACCACCUCCGGCUUAUGGUGGUUAGGAUGUUGCAGCUUAAUGUUGACAUCUGGCAUGAAAAGCUUAUGGUCUGAGUCAUGUUUCUUUUUUAUGUAAUUCUGGCUUGGGAAUCCGAUACAGAGCAGCUGAGAAAUAAAUUAUGUUGCUGAGGCUGAAGAUGAUGCACAGAAGUAUGGCUCCAGCUAUCUGAGAGAAAGAGAAGGGCUUGGAGGUGGCCAGGAGCCAUUCCUUCCUCAGAGUCUUGUCCAGAAGUAUGGCUUCCAUCUGCAUGUGCGUGGCCAGGAUCACACACACGUGAAACAGCUGGUGACUGUGACCUAUGGCAAACACAAAAGGCCGUCAAGAUCAGCAAUGAAAAGGAAUGAGUACUGAUACAUGCUAUGGCAUUCAUGCUAAAAAUGAUGCUAAGUGAAAGAAACCAGACAGGAGACCACAUAUUAUAUAAAAUCUCCAGAAUAUGCAAAUCCAUAAAGACAGAGAGUAGAUUAGAGGCUGCCUCAAGCAGGGGGUGAGAAUAGGUAUUAACAGUGCAUGGGUCUGAUGGAGGGGAUGAAAAUGUUCUAAAACUGAUGUAUGGUGAAUUUACUGAAAAUAUCAUUAAAUUGUAUACUUGACAUUAGAGAAUUAUUGAAUAUGUGAAAUAUACCUUAAUAAAUUUAUUUUUAAGAAGCAAUAUGGGAAAAAUAAAAGGCCCAUCAGAGAAAACCAAAUCCAAAUUCUUUUUUAAAACAACUUAUCCACCAGUCUCAUUUUUCAGAUGAAAAAAUUAGGCACCAAAGUUCAUCUCUUGAGAGCCAGCACUGAUCAGCUCAGAGUCUCACUUCAGUGCUGAGGGAGAAGCUGGCUGAAUUUUCUGUUGGCCACUAACCAAGUGGACCUCUCCCUACUGCCAGUUAGUCACAGAUAUGACCAGGACUCUUCCUCCCCAAUGCCAUGCUGGACCCAGCUCACAUGGUGCCCUUCACAGAGGCUGGGAGCCCAGUAGAGGGUAGUGGGAGUGACAGGGACAGGGACGUGCUGGGUGGUUGGUGAGAAAACAAAUCCAAUGCCUAGGGUCGGGGGCAGCUUUGGGGGACAACCCUCAGACCCCAGGAGUAAGGAGGCGACCACAUGUGUUAUGGGCUGAAUGAUGUCCCUGAAAAAUACAUGUGCUGAAGUCUUAAGCCCCAGAAUGAGACCAUAUUUGCAGAUAGGAUCUUUAGAGAAAUAAUUAAAUAAAAAUGAAGUCUCUAAGAUGGGCCUAAUCCACUAUGACUGGUGUCCUUAUAAGGAAAGGAGUUUAGGCCAGGCGCGGUGGUUCACGCCUGUAAUCCCAGCACUUUGGGAGGCUGAGGCGGGUGGAUCACGAGGUCAGGAGAUAGAGACCAUUUUGGCUAACAUGAUGAAACCCCGUCUCUACUAAAAAUACAAAAAUUAGCCGGGCAUGGUGACACGUGCCUGUAAUCCCAGCUACUCUGGAGGCUGAGGCAGGAGAAUGGCGUGAACUCGGGAGGCAGAGCUUGCAGCGAGCCAAGAUCAUGCCACUGCACUCCAGCCUAGGCGACAGAGCGAGACUCCGUCUCAAAAAAAAAAAAAAGAAAGAAAAGGAGAUUAGGACACAGACAUGCACGUAUACAAGAAAAAGAUCAUGUGAAGACAGUUGGAAAGAACGGCCAUCGACAAGCCAAAGAGAGAGGCCUCCGGAGAAGCCUACUUGCCAACGCUUUGAUCUCAGAUUUCCAGCCUCCAGAAUUGUGAGAAAAUAAAUUUCAGUUGUUUAGGCCACAACAGUCUGUGAUACUUUGUUAUGGCAGCCCUAGCAAACUAAUGCAGCAUAAGAGUUAAAUAAGGUUUCUCUUUUGGUUUAAAAAAAAUAAAAUAAAAAGGCUGGGCAUGGUGGCUCACACCUGUAAUCCCAGCACUUUGGGAGGCCAAGGCAGGAGGAGUGCUUGAACCCAGGAGUUUUGAGACCAGCCUGGGCAACACAGUGAGAUCCCAUCUCUAGAAAAAUAAAAAAUUCAGUGUUUCACCCCCAGGACCUAUCUCAGAAGAAAUAUUCAAUAAAUGUGUCCUAGGAAUGAACCGGCCUGGCCACCUCUACUAUUGAGCAGGAGCAGAGUUAGGAAGAUUGAGCAGGAGCAGAGAGGGAUUCCCACCUCCAGCAGACUCUGUUAGUUAAGGACUGAGAAUGUUCCAAAUCUUGUUAAUGAUCUGUCAUGAACUAUUUUCUAGGAAAUGUCCCCCAGAGGGGUGUUUUUCAGCUCUGUACCCCUAGGCCCAAGAGGAUGGGACAGAGGUGAAUAAAAUGUUAUUAAGAAACCUGAGUGGUAGCAAAAGAAGGCCCAGGGCCAUUUUUCCUGCAACCCCAAAACUUGCUACACAGCCACCUCUACUUCAUUAAGCGGGGCUGGGGAGGUGGACAUGGCAGUCAGGAUGCUGGUGACUCCGAUUCCCUGGCCUCUCCUUUUCCUCCUUUUUGGAAAUCUGUUCUCUAAGCAUUUUACUAGUUACAACCCCUUCUGACACAACAAAAGAAGAAAAGGAGAUAAAACUUUAAUCAGAUCAAACAAACUGCAUCUGGCCACAUCUUUUAGUGAGAGGAGAUGGAAAAUCAGGAACAAAAUGGGCUUGGGGAGAAGCAAGCUUCCUGCCCUGGUGGGGACAAUGACUGGCCCUUUGAUUCCCAUGUACUCACCUAAGGAACUCUCACCCCAAAGUCUUGUCAGCCUCACCAGAAAUGAUGCAAGGGUUCCUCCUCCUAGCCAGUCCCAGAGCCAGAGCGGAGGAGGCACAUUCUGCAGGGACCCGCCCCUCCUUCCCUAGACAGAGCGGGGAAAGAACUCUGCCAGCAGGUGGAAACCCCCGUGACUCUGACACCUUCUCUCCACCAGAUCACUUCAAACUUAAGUGAGCUCAGGUUCAUCUGGAGGAUGACUCGGCCUCUGUGUGAGUAUUGGGUUUCACUCCUGGCGUUUCUGGUUCAGGAGGUCUGUGGUGGGGCCUGAGAAUCUGCAUGUUCUCAGAUGAUGCUGAUGCUGCUGGCUGAUGACCACCCCUGGAGAAACCACUGCUCUACCCUGAACCCCUGGCCCCCUCCCGUCCACCAUGCUCAAGACAAAGAAAGAUGCUUUCUCCCCUUUUCCCUUUUCUGCACAGCCCCCUGUUGUCUGGUACCCUCAGAGCCAUCUUCAUCCUUUCUUUCCUCUUCCUCUCCUCGGCUGCUCCCAAUGUACUUUUUCUCUUCACAUAGGAUCUCUCUCACCCAGGCUAGAGUGCAGUGCAUGAUCAUGGCUCACUGUAGCCUCAACCUUCCAGGCUCAAACCAACGCCUCCCAAGUAGCUGGGACCACAGGUGCACGCCACCAUGCCCAGCUAAUUUUUGUAUUUUUUGUAGAAAUGGAGUUUCACUAUGUUGCUCAGGAUUGUCUUGAGCACAGUCUCAAGUAAUCUGCCCACCUUGGCCUCCCAACGUGCUGGGAUUACAUGUGUGAGCCACCACGCCCAGCCCCAAUGUUCACUUAAUCAUGGGAUUCCAUGUUCUGGAUGACAAUAAGACACACUGGCUCCAUACCCCAUCAGAAUGCUUUAGGCUCCUGGGCCCACCUGCCCUCCAUCCUGCCCAUGCUACCUAACAAUGCACCUGCUGCAGACAUCCUGACCUCUGUCAACUUGCAAUGUUACUCGCCUUGGCCUCUCUCUCUGCCCUUCCCUGCCCUUUGCAGCUACGUGCACUGGAGUCAGGGACAGGACCCUCCCCAGUCAGGAGGGCAAUGAGCAGAGCAGCAGGGCUGUUGCCCACUCACCGAUGUAGUCAAAGCGUCCAGGGGCUAGGCGUUCUGGCAGAUGUGCAGAGUACAAGAAAGAGGCCAGGAGGGUCAUGAUCAUGUGCUUCUGGUGGUACGAGGUGGCUUCAUUUUGUGCACUCUCCCCUGGGAACAGGAAUAGCUGCAGGUGUUUAAAGAAACAUCAGGUCUUGAGAGGACAGGCCUGAGGCAGGCCCUCUUCCUUCUCAGCACCUGCAUCUGGGACUUUGGGGGCUCUGACACCCACACAUGUUAGCACACAUACACAAACUCCAGAGGCCAAGGCCCUCACCUCCUCAGGUCUGUGACCUGGUAGAGGAAACUCAGGCACCAUGUGAGCAGAGCUCCUAUCCUGAGUGUGGUCGAUUGAGACUCGAGACUAUUGUAUUUCAAUCCCCCAAAUACUCAUGAGAGUCUUUUGGUUUAUUUACUUAACUGAAUCGGAGAGAAAAAGGAAAGAAGAAAGGAAUGGGAAAGGAAAAGAAAGACAAAAAAUCCUAUUAGAUAAUUGGUAUUCUUUCUGGGGUAAAAUGUAAGUACAGUUGACUCUUAACAUGCAGGCUAGGGGCAUUGACCCCCUGCAGUCAAAAGUCCAUGUACAACUUUUGACUCCCCCAAACUUAAUUACUAAUAGCCUCCUGUUGACUGGAAGCCUUACCUGUAACAAACUGCCAAGUAACACAUAUUUUGUGUAGGUAUUAUAUAUUGUAUUCUUACAAUAAAGUAAGCUAGAGAAAAGCAAGUGAUAUUGAGAAAAUCCUGAGGAGGAGGAAGAAGAAAAGGGGUCGGUCUUGCUGUCUCAUGAGUGGCAGAGGUGGAAGAAAAUCCAUGUAAAGUUCCAACCCAUGUUUAAGGGUCAACUGUUUAGUGGAUUCACACUGGAACUCACUUUUUAUCAGCACAUCCACUGAACUGGUGCUCCUAAUUAAGGCUUUAAGGCCUAGAAAUCCCUGGAAGGCCUUCUGAGUCAUCCAAAAGUAUCAAUGAUGGCCACUAUACUGUUUCAGAGCUAAGUAUAGUUUUUGUAUUAUUGUUAUAAAGUCAUAGUAGCCACCACUUACCGAGGGCAGCAGGCCAGGCCUCUUACAUGCAUCAUUUCACCUGAGCCACAAUUAUCAUAAGGCAGACUCUAUCUUCCCCAUUUUGCAGGUGAGGAAGGUGGGCCAGAGAGUGACUUGCACAUCACUUAGUGAGAAGUGAAGUCAGGAUCUGAAUCCAGGCAGGCUGAUUCCAGCAUCAACAUCACCACUUAGAACUGGACCUCCCCUUCCCUCUGCCCUCCUCUGACUCAGCCACAUGCCAGAAGCACACGAUGCUUGUCACAACACAGGACUUGCACUGCCUGAUUUGGAGGUACAUGGGACAGAAUUGCUCUGUCUGCUCUUGGUUUCCUGUGUGUGGUCUGCGCCCUUGAGGAAGGAGUGAGGGGAACGGGCUGCAGCCCCAUCUUUGGCGCUCUCCCAGACCCACAGAGGCAGAGCACAGAGAACGUGCUCAAUGCCCCAGCUGCUGGGUGGAGCUCAGCCCCUCCCCUUGUCCCUCAGCCCUGCCAUCUGGGCUUUAUUCUUCAAGCCCACAGGACGCUGCCUCUAGGAGGGAGCUUCACUCACCGGGUACUGGACAGGCACCGCAGAGCCUAUCAGAUCCAUUGUUUUCCCCUACAAAGGAGGCCUAGUACCCUUAUGUACAGAUGAGGAAACUAAUCUGAGGCUUAGAGAGUUGUGUGUCCUGCCUGAGGUCACAUAGCCAGUGAGCAGUGGGGCCAGAAUUUGAACUCAAGCCCGUAUGGUUUGAAAGUGCGUGGACUUUCCCCUUCUAGUCCUACUUGUUGUCCCUCCUACACUCUCUUCCUUUAUGCUCUCCAUCUCUUUCCCAUCGCUCCUUUAAGACCCUCAUUCAUGCCUUUUCCUUCAAUACUAACAGUAUACUACUUGAUGAUGGAACAAUGCAUUCCCGAACUCUUGCUACCAGUCAGCACUUGACAUGUUCCCCGUGUAAUCCUCCCCACAGCCCAUGAGGUGUUAUCAGGCCCAGCUUACAGAUGAAGGAAAUCGAGGCAUAGAGAACUGGCCCAGGGACUGACAGCAAGUAUUGGAGACCUGCCUGCAGAGCUCGCUCUCCUGCUCACUCCACUCAGCCCCAGGCUGCCUGUUCUAUGACGUUCCCGAGCCCCCAGUCAUAUUGUCAGUCAGGGCCUCUGUGCUUAUGUCAUCUCCUAACCACUCCUCAAGUGCCACCAAGGCAGCACCUGGGUGUGGGGGAAAGAAAGAUAUAUCAGACUGUUACUGUGUCUAUGUAGAAAAAGGAAGACAUAAGAAACUCCAUUUUGAUCUGUACUAAGAAAAAUCUUCUUAUUUAUUUUCUCAGUCUCUCGUCCCACCUGACGAGAAAUACCCACAGGUGUGGAGGGGCUGGCCCCCUUCACCUGGGUCUCGACUCCUGUUUUGUUCUGCGGUUCCCAUUGCAGUGCUGUGACCCCCCAGAAGCUCAGGAAAACAACUGACUUCCUGGUGUUGCCAACAGGCAGAGAGGAGAUGCAGCCAGUCCUUACCCUGUAGAAGAUGGGGAGGGAGUCCCAGGUGUACGGAUAAGCAAAGGCGAGGACACGAAUCACCUUACAGAGUCUGGGCUUCUGGAUUUCAAGAAACCUAAAUCAGGGAAGGAAAGUGGGGAGGAAAUGGAAUGAAAAGAGUCUCAGCAAAUUGCAUACGCACAUGCAUGCACACCGAGGGCCUGGUCAUCAACAGAGGACAAGCAUUUUUCUACAAGCUCCUGUGGCCAGCAGCUUCUCCACCAGCCUCGUCCAUUCCUCCCACCCCAAUGGAAGUGACAAAACUUCAGAUGCAAAAAGAUCUCCAGGGACACCAUCUCCUGACCAUGGGAAGCAGUGGUGUCCAGACUAAGCCAGAAAGGAGGCGCUGGGCAGAAACCCUUCAAGGGCCAAGUUAUGUAACUGCCAAAGAACCUUUUAAAACUCUAGUUGCUACAGGGACAGGGAACGGGUAGGGGGAAUCGGGGGAUCCACUGCCACAGACUCUUGGGGGGCACACUCUGCAGAGGCUGAGAUGCACCCAUCUAGUUGGAGCCCAGGUAUUAUCAUGCAGGAGACCUGGGUUCAAGUAGGUGUUUGACCCUUGGAGAGCUUUCUGGAAUAUUUAUACCACACACAGGGAUACUUGGCUUGGGAAAACUAAAUAAACGUGAAGUCUUUCCUUCUCUUCUUCAUUGCCACCCUCACCCAACCUCCAAUCCAAAGACAGCUGACAGCAACAUUAAAACAAGUGAUGCUGAUUGUUGAGAAGAGAGGCAGGUCCCCCCAGACAGAACAUGACAGGGCCUCAGCUGACUUGGGCCCAGCCUGGGGCAGCAGCUCAGGGUAUGGGGAACUGGGUAGCACAGACAGCAGGCUGCACACUGGGAGGACAUGGGGAGGGGCAGGGAGGGUCUCUGCACAAAAUCACAGCCCUGAACUGAGGCCUGGGUAAGGAAGUGCUCAUGGGCCCUGGCUGGGCCACCAAGGCCAGGUAGUAGGGACAGGUAAAGUCCCCACAUCAAUGCUGAGGUGUACUGUGGAGGGCUGUGUCCUCCCUUGGGGCCCACAGGGCUGCAGGGUAAGGAACCCAGCACAGUGGAUGCACAGCCACACGCUGAGGCUCUUGGGAUGGCUGUUCUGAUGCAGUCUGUAAAGGCAAUGCAUGCAUCUGGGCCCUUUCAGCCUUUGCUGACAGUUCUGCCCCCUAUCACACUGGAGGGAUGGGGUCUGUGUCCUGCUGUGGCUCCUAUCUCUGCUCCCAAGAACCUCGGUCCCAGUCCACAAGCCUGUUCCUUCUCCUUCAAAUGCCAUCUGCUGUUUCCUCUGAGCCCAGACCGAUUUCACCUGGCCAGGCUGUUCAUAUCUCGUAUGAGCCAGUAAAGCCACCUGACCAUAAACCCAGCUGCUGCCUGUAUCUCUCAGCAUGGAGUAUGCAGGGACUUCCACAUUGGGCAGUUAGGGAACCCUCCUCAGGCAGGUGCCAGAUCUGGUCAGGCCUGGAUCCUGGGGACCCAGCACAGAAGCAGGUCUGAGGAUGCGGACAUUCUCCAGGCUAUUGUGCUCCACUCAGUCCUCAGGGCAACCGAGCACAAAUGGCCCACCCGGAGAUUCCUGUUUCAGGAGAAAGGGACACCACUGUGUGCCCGGAGAAGCCCCACAGCCUCCCAAGACAAACCCCAACUUCACUCCAGCCCACUUUCGUGUUUCUUCUUUCCUGACCCUGCCUGUAAGUCAUACAUGGUACAUGGCAUGUACCAGGUGAGAAGCUCAAGGAGAAGGAACUAGGAUGCAUCAUCCCCCCCGAAAAAGAACCAAACUCCCGGAGAGGUGAGGCAGCGCAGCACUGUGAUUUUAUGUGGAGAGCUUGAUUGGGACACACUGGGUUCAAAUCCUGACCCUGCCCUUCACAACCACGUGACCUCGGCAGGUCACUAACCUUUGUGUACCUCCUGAUCCUCAUGUGUAACACAGGGACAAUGACUGUGCCUUGUCACAGCCUCGUUGUAUGGAUUUGAUGAAACGAUGCUCCCGAGGUGUUUAGAACUGUGCAUGGCACAGUCGCACAGACUAAACAGCAGCUUUUAAAAACACAUGCAUCGUGGAGCUCCAUUCUCUCCCCAUCCCCACCUUGUAUCUAUGUUGGUCCAGAUAAUAGGAACAGGAGGGAACAAAUAGGUUCUGGGUGAUUUGCCUGAAGUCAGAUGAGCCAAUAAGAAGCAGAGCUAGGAUUUAAACCCUGGGCUUUCUGGCCCCCAAGUGUCACCCCCUCUGUCUCAGGCAGUAGGCUGCGCAGACUCAGACCCCGCCCGGCCUUCACCCUUCCCUGCCCGCUCUGCCCCUGGAGCAGAGGGCACACACUCCUGCUAUCCCGAGAGCCAGGUAUCUGCCUCACCGGCCUUCUUAGUCCUCCGGCAGACCCUGCCCUGCCGCGGCAGGCCGCCCCCUCCUGCCCUGUGCCCUGCCACCGCCUGCCGUCUCCAGGUUGAGAGGCUCGCUCUUAAAGGGCCCCUGUGGCCACUUACACGCGAAGAAAUCUGGCUGUGGCUGGCGAAGGCCAUCCCCCAAAGCAUGGAUUUUCUGUGACUUGAGACAACAUUUCGCUCGGCCUGAUAAAGUGUUUCCCCAGGGGCAAACGGACCAGCCUCUCCAGCUGCAAAGCCGGGUCUAGAGGGAAAAGAGAAGGAGAAAAAGCAGAAGAGAAGAGAGACAGCAACAGAGAGAAAAAGGCAGAAGGGCCAGUAGCUCGGGAGAGGGGCCGUCCGCUACCAAGUUGCAGUUCCGCAUUAGGCCACGCGAUGUCGCCACAGCCAGAGCAGAACCACAGCCGCAGCAUCCUCAGAGGCGCCCCACGUGCGGCCCCACAGCCCAGCCUGCUCGGGCUUAGGGCAGUCCCGCACCAGAGGGCUAAGGGGCUGCUAUAGAGGAAGUGAGGUCUCUGCUCAGAACGAGGUUGGCAGGACACACUGGGUUACGGGAGAAGCCUUCGUUAAGAAAGGGUCGAUUCAACACAAUCUGACAAAAAAGCUGGAAGGAUUGGCAACUGGAAUUCCGGAACUAGGGCUUGAAACUAGCGGGCCUUUGGAAAAAUCAUUCUAUUGCAGAGGCGCACGCACGAGUGCACGUGUGUGUGUACAUGGGGGCGGUAGUUAUGGUUGUUUUAUUGUGUAGGAGUUGUCUUAUUUUGGAGAACUGCAGGGAUGUAGACAUUUCCCCAUGCCCCUAACUGGCUAUAGCAGCACUUUAUCCUCUGGCCAAGCCUCUGUCUGAGAACCAUGUCUGCUGAGCCUUCUACCUCCAGCGCUGACCUCAAACCCCUUCCAGGUCAGCUCCACCCCUCUGAACUGCCUCAGCAACUGCCUCUAAGCUGUCCUUAGAGCAGAGCUCAUGGGUGAAAAUUAAUCUCUCGCCCUCACUGCUCUGACCAGGAGGUUUUUCACUCAGCAGCUCUUUGAAAAAAAAAAAACAAAAAACAAAAAAAAAACAAUCAAUGGUUGGAUGCACUGGAAGGAGAUGGACAGUGAUUUGUCCAUACAGUACUUGCUGUGUAACUGACAUUCCUGAAGGGAGUGGCAGCCGUUUCCUGUGCAGGCAUGAGCAGGCCAGGGCCUCGGCCACCCCCACCUUGCUCCAAGAACCACGAAGAGGGCACGCAUUCUCUCAUUUCCCCUCUCAAAUGCUACAGAAUGAGAAGGCAGUUUUCUGGAACAUUUUCAUUUGAACCAAAGUCCAUGACAAUAAGAACCAAAAACCACUCAGGGGACGACAAAGCUCUCUAUGUUGAGAUUGGCCUUAAUGGUCUGCCUUGUAAUGGAACGAAUGCCAUUUCAACCCUGAUUUUCGGGCAAGCAUCAGAUAACUGUCAAGCAAAUACUGAGGUUCCUGGUCUCCCCCAGGAGGUCUUCCCCUCCCUGGAGGGGAAGGUGGUUCUCUCCCGCUCCUGCCCAACUGCAGCCGGAUGGAGCAGGAGGGAGAGGCAGGGGUGGAGCCUGGGGGAGGAAGACAGCUGGGAAAGGAAGCUUGGAGAAGACACUAAGGCAUCGACAUUGCACGAUGCCCAAACCAGAGAGGACCCAGAGGGUAUUGUCUCAGAUGCCCUCAUUGAAGACGUAGACCCUGAGGCCCAGAGUGGACAGUGACUGCCCUGAGGCCAUACAGCAAGUCUGGGGGAGCAGGGUUGAAAUUCAGGCCUCCAGAUACCCACACCCUCCUCUCUACCCACUUCUUCUGAAAUUACUCAGGGCCAGCAUCACUUCUGCACACGAGUCAGCUUUCUCACUCUCCAGACACCAAAGGCAGAGACAGGGAAUGAAGAGAGGGGAGGACAGGCCUUGUAAGAGCAGCAAAACCAUGGGUCAGGGAACGUGGAGCGAGGACGAGGUACAAAGGGCACUGGAAGGGCCACAUGCCCACUCUACCUUUGGGUGCAAGAGUGUGGCAUGUGCCCCCUUCCUCCUUUUUGAUUCCAACAUAGCCCCUCACCUCCCUCUCCCCUCAGCUCCCACUUCAGUUGCUGCUAAUAUGCCUGGAAACCCCUCAGGGCAUGGAAGCUGAGUGCGUAGGAUUUUUUUUUUUCCCUAAGAGAUUCUCAUCCUUCAUGAGCAAAGGGCCAGUCCUCAUAGGACCCACAGGCCCCCAGCCCACCAUCCAAGCCCCUCUGUAGCUGCUCUCCUCCAUCUACUCUUGCAGACUCUGGCAGCUCUAACACACCUUGCUGCUUCCCCACCCUGGCCCACCCUCUCUGUAGUCCUCAUCCUUGUCCUGGCUGGUUGCUAUGUCCUCCUCUUCAGCUAAAGUGUUCUACCUCCUUCAAUAUCCAGUCCUAAAGCCACUUCUCAGAACCCUGUGUAUACCGGCAGGUGUCAUUCUGCCUUAUCAUUAUUUGUUUACAUUACACUCCCUCCUGCUACACUCUAACGGAAAUCAUGGCCUCAUGGACCUCUGGGGGCAUCUGCAGUCUGUCUCUCCUAUGGCACUGGGUGCUCUCUGAAGGCAAGGGCAUCCUUCUGGCACCCUCAGCUCCUAACGUGGUACCUGGAGUAUGGCAGGCAUUUAAGGAAUGUUAGAUGGGUGGGCGGGUGUGUAGAUGGGUGGAUAGAUGGAAUAGGCACAGAUGUACUCCAUAAAUAAAUAACCCAUUUCAUUGGCAAAGGGAGAAGCCCCCAAACUCAGGCACCCAGGAGAUGUCUGGCAAAGCUGCCCUGACAGAUAAGUUCCUCCAAAGACACCAGGCAUGCCACAUCCAAAAGACCCCAUCCGUUAUAUCUGAACCAUCAGGGAAGACUCCUGGCUAGAAGAAAGUAAUCUAGGCUGGGCAGGGUGGCUCACACCUGUAAUACCAGCACUUUGGGAGGCUGAGGAGAGUGGAUCAUCUGAGGUCAGGAGCUCGAGACCAGCCUGGCCAACAUGGCGAAACCUUGUCUCUACUUAAAACAAAAAAAAAUAAAAUAAAACCAGCAAGUGUUCUAAGAAUUUGAAUUAUGAGCUCAUGGGGAAGCCAUCUUGGAUCAUUCACUCUGGAGACAAUUUCUUUUUUUUCUUGGCUCCACUGCCCGGGCUGGAGUACAGUGGCAUGCUCUCAGCUCACUGCAACCUCUGCCUCCUGGGUUCAAGCGAUUCUCCUGCCUCAGCCUCUUGAGUAGCUGGGAUUACAGGUACCUGCCACCACACCCAGCUAACUUUCGUAUUUUUAGUGGAGACAGGUUUUCACCACAUUGGCCAGGCUGGUCUUGAACUCCUGACCUCAGGUGAUCCACCCACCUGGCGCUCCCAAAAUGCUGGGAUUACAGGUGUGAGCCACUGCACCCAGCCUCACUCUGGAGACUUUCUUCCACACUCACGAAGCCUUCUCUUCCUCCUCUGCCCCCUCAACCUGUGGUACUCUCCCUGUCUAAUCCUAAAUUUCAAACGCCAGAGCCACACAGCCCUAGGAGAGCGAACCAGAUGGGGCAGUGACUGGUCCAAGGACCAGGUCCAAGAGUGUCCAGGUUCCUGGACCAUGGCCAGUCCACAAGCCCAUGCACCCAGGUCUCCGGGGCUUGCUUCAUCUCUGCUGGACUUGUUUCCGCAGGGUUAUUACUGUUCUAUAUCUGUUAUACCUCCCUUCAUCCACGGCAGGGACUCCUAGAAACAGACUUUCACUCCCAUGGAAGGCAGCUCCACACUUCCAACCCACCUUAGCGCAGGUGAAUGGAAGGCGAAUUGGAACAAGUAUUCCCAAUGCUGUUUCAGAAUCUAUCCUUCCAUUUAAAAAUAAAAAACAGAAACAAAAAAACUGGUUUGUCCUGUUUGUGAAACUUGCCUGCUCUCCCUUGUGAAACUUGCUGGCCCCACACAUCCCAAGUGUCACCCAAAGGAAUUUGGAGACAAAAUCAUUCUGGAGAAGUUACCAGAUGGGGCAUAUCUCACCUGCCUGUUUUUUCCUGGGGAGAGGGGGGCAAGUGGAGGCAGGGAGACUCCACUGGCUCGCUGGAGUUGCCAUUGCGGGAGGACAGAGAACUCAGAUGUACCUGCCAGCUUACCUUUCCUGACCAGCACGAAAGGCCCCCAGCCCAAAAGUACCAGCCUUGGCCCUAUUCAGCCAGGGCUGUCACCCCAACACAACCAUUUGGGAGAUUUCCUGAGUAUUUUAGGGAAAAGGAACUUUCAGGCAGUUCACUUCUACAAAGAGCUGAAUAAAUUGGUGUAGUUAUCCCCAUAACAACAUUCUCUGCACUCACACCCCCAUGAGUUUUCUUGAAAGAAAAAAAAAAAAAACAGUGGGAAUUAGAGCGCGUAAGCUGGGCCUGACUCACUGAUGAGGGAUGCAUAGGGCAUUUGAAUAACACCAUCAUCCAUCACAUAUGCCCAGAGGCAGACACACCCAGUCACCAUUAGUGACCACACAUUUAUGGGACAUCUCCUCUGUGCCAGGCUUGUGCUAAGUGUCCUGGGUACAUUACCUGUAAUCCUUCCAUUUGUCUUAGGGGUAUUUGUAAUGGCCUCAUUUUAUAGAUGAGCAAACUGAAGUUCAGGGUGGAUAAGCCACUUGUCCAGCAAAUGGAACCAGCUGCAUAAUUUGUAAAGCCUUGUACCGAAUCAAAGAGCAGGGACCUCCCUGUUCAAAAAUUAUUACAAAUUAUUAAGAAUGCAGCAGACGAGCCCAGGAAGGCGAGGCUACAGUGAGCUGAGAUCGCACCACUGCAUUCCAGCCUGGGCCACAGAGAGAGACCCUGUCUCAAAAAAA
rnacentral:lncRNA from 1 species